CGGGAAGUAGCUCAGCUUGGUAGAGCACUUGGUUUGGGACCAAGGGGUUGCAGGUUCGAAUCCUGUCUUCCCGA
rnacentral:tRNA from 1 species